UACUAGAAGGUUCGAUUAGUCUUUCGCCCCCAUGCUCAGAUUUGACGAUCGAUUUGCACGUCAGAACCGCUGCGAGCCUCCACCAGAGUUUCCUCUGGCUUUGCCCUAUCCAAGCAUAGUUCACCUUCUUUCGGGUCCGGCCCAGCAUGCUCUUACUCAAAUCCAUCCGAGAACAUCAGGAUCGGUCGAUGAUGCGCCGAAGCUCUCACCUCCGUUCACUUUCAUUUCGCGUAGGGGUUUUGCACCCUAACACUCGCAUGCUAGGACGACUCCUUGGUCCGUGUUUCAAGACGGGUCGCUGAUGGCCAUUACGCCAGCAUCCUUGCGGUGCGCGUACCUCAGCCCGCGGUAGGGCAUAGCGGCGGGCUAUAACACUCCGAAGAGCCACGUUCCCGCCGCCUUUCUCCCCCGCCACGAGCUGAUGCUGGCCUGCGCCCGGCAGAGUGCACCGCCCGCGAGGGACGGCUGAGCUGCCGGGGCGCAAGUCUGGCCACAAGCGCUUCCCUUUCAACAAUUUCACGUGCUGUUUGACUCUCUUUUCAAAGUGCUUUUCAUCUUUCGAUCACUCUACUUGUGCGCUAUCGGUCUCUGGCCGGUAUUUAGCUUUAGAAGGGGUUUACCUCCCGUUUAGAGCAGCAUUCCCAAACUACUCGACUCGUCGAGGGAGCUUUACACCGGCUCGGCGUCCUACCGUACGGGGCUCUCACCCUCUCCGGCGGCCCGUUCCAGGGCACUCGGAAGGCGCCUCGCCGAAAGCAUCCUCUGCAAAUUACAACUCGGACCCCGGACGGGGCCAGAUUUCAAAUUUGAGCUGUUGCCGCUUCACUCGCCGUUACUGGGGCAAUCCCUGUUGGUUUCUUUUCCUCCGCUUGGUGAUA
rnacentral:rRNA from 1 species